rnacentral:rRNA from 1 species
GAUGAACGCUGGCGGCGUGCCUAAUACAUGCAAGUCGAGCGAACAGACGAGGAGCUUGCUCCUCUGACGUUAGCGGCGGACGGGUGAGUAACACGUGGAUCACCUACCUAUAAUACUGGGAUAACUUCGGGAAACCGGAGCUAAUACCGGCUCAUAUAUUGAACCGCAUGGUUCAAUAGUGAAAGACGGUUUUGCUGUCACUUAUAGAUGGAUCCGCGCCGCAUUAGCUAGUUGGUAAGGUAACGGCUUACCAAGGCGACGAUGCGUAGCCGACCUGAGAGGGUGAUCGGCCACACUGGAACUGAGACACGGUCCAGACUCCUACGGGAGGCAGCAGUAGGGAAUCUUCCGCAAUGGGCGAAAGCUUGACGGAGCAACGCCGCGUGAGUGAUGAAGGUCUUCGGAUCGUAAAGCUCUGUUAUUAGGGAAGAACAAAUGUGUAAGUAACUAUGCACGUCUUGACGGUACCUAAUCAGAAAGCCACGGCUAACUACGUG